CACAAGCAGGGGCUUUGGUAGGUGAUAAAAGGGGACGGGGCCCUCACUGCUGGUGCUGUGCCGAGAAAUCCGGGGCACAUUUGAGAUCCGACCCCGCGUACUGGUCACCCGGUCUGACCGUCCCACUCAGAGUGUGGUUCCUUGAAUCAAGUCCAGUGUGGAGUAAACGCACAUCAAAACAAAACAAACAACACAGGCAUUAGUGAUUGUUUUGUUGAAUGACAAGUCUAAAAAGUGACUCUGGAAGAGUGGAACACAUUUACAAAAAAACAAACAAACAAAAAAAAAACAUUAAGACUUGGUACCGAACUUGAGACGUGUUCCUAUUUCAAGCUGGCGCCACCCUCAGGUUGGAGGCCUGAAUUGCUCCAAGGUGAGCUUGAGAAGGCGAAGGCUUAUAGAAACACAGGAGACACGUCUCAGAUUAGGAGUGCAGAGCUCUAAAACAUUUUUUGUAGUUUCCUUUUGAGUUUAUGCAAAAAAACAAAACAAAAAUCUUGUAUUUUGGUUUUUAAAAGAGAUGUACCCGAUGUGACCUAUAAACAGCGCACAGACGCAAAACUGCCUCCUCCUGGUGGUGAAAAAAAAAAAGCA